GACGAACGCUGGCGGCGUGCUUAACACAUGCAAGUCGAGCGGAGCGGCGAACGGGUGAGUAACGCGUGAGUAACUGCCCCCCUCUCUGGGAUAACAGUUGGAAACGGCUGCUAAUACCGGAUAGUGGGGGAUGACUCGCGUCCUAUCAGCUUGUUGGUGGGGUAGUGGCCUACCAAGGCGACGACGGGUAGCCGGCCUGAGAGGGCGACCGGCCACAUUGGGCGGAGAUACGGCCCGAGGACCUACGGGAGGAAGAAGUGGGGAAUAUUGCACACUGGGGGAAACCCUGAUGGAGCAACGCGCGUGCGGGAUGACGGACGUCGGGUUGUAAAACGCUGUCAGCCAUGACGCGGUAGUGGCAGAAGAAGCACCGGCUAACUACGUGCCAGCAGCCGCGGUAAUUC
rnacentral:rRNA from 1 species